AAAGUUAAAGUUAAAGUCUAAAGUUAAAGUUAAAUCUAAAUCUAAAGUUAAGGAUAAAAGUAAACGCUUUCCUUCUCAAAAUCUUACUUUGUAAACAUUUUUUGGAAACUUUUAAAAGGAAAAUUCAAAUAAAUUGAUA
ensembl:ncRNA K06A1.7 ncRNA